rnacentral:rRNA from 1 species
CCUACGGGAGGCAGCAGUGAGGAAUAUUGGUCAAUGGACGAGAGUCUGAACCAGCCAAGUAGCGUGAAGGAUGACUGCCCUAUGGGUUGUAAACUUCUUUUAUAAAGGAAUAAAACGAGGCACGUGUGCCUUUUUGCAUGUACUUUAUGAAUAAGGAUCGGCUAACUCCGUGCCAGCAGCCGCGGUAAUACGGAGGAUCCGAGCGUUAUCCGGAUUUAUUGGGUUUAAAGGGAGCGUAGAUGGGUUGUUAAGUCAGUUGUUAAAGUUUGCGGCUCAACCGUAAAAUUGCAAUUGAUACUGGCAGUCUUGAGUGCAGUUGAGGUAUGCGGAAUUCGUGGUGUAGCGGUGAAAUGCUUAGAUAUCACGAAGAACCCCGAUUGCGAAGGCAGCUUACUAAACUGUGACUGACAUUGAUGCUCGAAAGUGUGGGUAUCAAACAGGAUUAGAUACCCUUGUAGUC